UACGUAGGGUGCAAGCGUUGUCCGGAAUUAUUGGGCGUAAAGAGCUCGUAGGCGGUCUGUCGCGUCGAAUGUGAAAACCCGGGGCUCAACCCCGGGCCUGCAUUCGAUACGGGCAGACUAGAGUUCGGUAGGGGAGACUGGAAUUCCUGGUGUAGCGGUGAAAUGCGCAGAUAUCGGGAGGAACACCGGUGGCGAAGGCGGUUCUCUGGGCCUUACCUGACGCUGAGGAGCGAAAGCGUGGGGAGCGAACAGG
rnacentral:rRNA from 1 species